rnacentral:lncRNA from 1 species
CCCAUGUCAAAGCGAGGUGCCUCUAGGUGCAUCCCUUCCAGACACUCCACAGUUAGUUGGAGGGUGGGAGAGAGCCCCUUUAUGAUGCAGUGGAUGGUGGCGGUUGUCAAGCCUCCAAUGAAACUAUAACAGCAACAUCAUCUUCUCCAAAUAUGAAAGCUAGAGGAAAUGGGCUUGACCAUAAGCAAUAGCCCCUUCC